CCCAAUUCUAACAGCAUAAGAGAGGUAGUGACAAGAAAUAACAAUACAAGGCAAUUAAAAUGCUUUGUAAUUGGAAUGAUAGAAAUUUAAACACUUUUUAAAGUAUCAAUUGGAGGGCAAGUCUGGUGCCAGCAGCCGCGGUAAUUCCAGCUCCAAUAGCGUAUAUUAAAAUUGUUGCAGUUAAAAAGCUCGUAGUUGAAUUUCUGCUAAGAAUAACCGGUCUGCUUUUAAUAAAAGUGGU
rnacentral:rRNA from 1 species